rnacentral:rRNA from 1 species
AUUGAACGCUGGCGGCAGGCUUAACACAUGCAAGUCGAGCGGGGUGAUGGUGCUUGCACUAUCACUUAGCGGCGGACGGGUGAGUAAUGCUUAGGAAUCUGCCUAUUAGUGGGGGACAACAUCUCGAAAGGGAUGCUAAUACCGCAUACGUCCUACGGGAGAAAGCAGGGGAUCACUUGUGACCUUGCGCUAAUAGAUGAGCCUAAGUCGGAUUAGCUAGUUGGUGGGGUAAAGGCCUACCAAGGCGACGAUCUGUAGCGGGUCUGAGAGGAUGAUCCGCCACACUGGGACUGAGACACGGCCCAGAAUCCUACGGGAGGCAGCAGUGGGGAAUAUUGGACAAUGGGGGGAACCCUGAUCCAGCCAUGCCGCGUGUGUGAAGAAGGCCUUAUGGUUGUAAAGCACUUUAAGCGAGGAGGAGGCUCUUUUGGUUAAUACCCAAGAUGAGUGGACGUUACUCGCAGAAUAAGCACCGGCUAACUCUGUGCCAGCAGCCGCCGCAG